rnacentral:rRNA from 1 species
AAAUUGAAGAGUUUGAUCAUGGCUCAGAUUGAACGCUGGCGGCAGGCCUAACACAUGCAAGUCGAGCGGAAACGAGUUAUCAGAACCUUCGGGGAACGAUAGCGGCGUCGAGCGGCGGACGGGUGAGUAAUGCCUAGGAAAUUGCCCUGAUGUGGGGGAUAACCAUUGGAAACGAUGGCUAAUACCGCAUGAUGCCUACGGGCCAAAGAGGGGGACCUUCGGGCCUCUCGCGUCAGGAUAUGCCUAGGUGGGAUUAGCUAGUUGGUGAGGUAAGGGCUCACCAAGGCGACGAUCCCUAGCUGGUCUGAGAGGAUGAUCAGCCACACUGGAACUGAGACACGGUCCAGACUCCUACGGGAGGCAGCAGUGGGGAAUAUUGCACAAUGGGCGCAAGCCUGAUGCAGCCAUGCCGCGUGUGUGAAGAAGGCCUUCGGGUUGUAAAGCACUUUCAGUCGUGAGGAAGGUAGUGUAGUUAAUAGCUGCAU